rnacentral:rRNA from 1 species
UACGAGGGGUGCAAGCGUUAAUCGGAAUUACUGGGCGUAAAGCGAGCGUAGGCGGCUAAAUAAGUUGGAUGUGAAAAACCCGGGCUCAACCUGGGCUGUGCAUCCAAAACUGUUUAGCUAGAGUCCUGUAGAGGGGGGUAGAAUUUCAGGUGUAGCGGUGAAAUGCGUAGAGAUCUGAAGGAAUACCAGUGGCGAAGGCGGCCCCCUGGACAGUGACUGACGCUGAGGUUCGAAAGCGUGGGUAGCGAACAGG